rnacentral:misc_RNA from 1 species
GCAAAAUUCAGUUCUGCCGCUCAUGGAGGACGAAAUUCCUAGUUCUAGCCCAUCUCGCCUUCCCACCGAUCGCAUCAAGCUCAAUGUUGGAGGCAAGCUCUUCGAGACAACCAUAUCUACGCUGCAAUCCGGCGGUCCUGACUCACUCUUAGCGGCCCUCUCCAGCCGCCACACUCAUGACCCAGUUUUCAUUGACCGUGACCCGGAGAUUUUCUCCGUUUUCCUUUCUCUGCUGCGUUCCGGCCGCAUACCCUCUACCGCUCAACGCUUCUCUAAGCAAGAGCUCGCCGAUGAGGCUGUCUACUAUGGCAUCGAAUCGCAGCUCCGAUUUGCAAUGUCUCCGCCUCCUCUCUCCGGCAUCGACGCGUCCCUUCUCACCAUCAUCCAACCCGCCUCAGACGGCCUACCCUCCACCUUCACUGCUGCAGCUGGAGACGGCUCCGUCUGGAUUGCACACGGAGGACAAAUUUCAGCUUAUGAUUGGAACCUCAGCCACACUGGCACCAUCCGUACGCAUCUUGAUGAUGUCACCUCAAUCCGACGAAUCUUGCCGGAGGUUGCAGCCGUCGGAUCAAACUCCGCUGCUGGACUCCAUUUUUAUGAUUUCUGUAGCGCUAGUCACCUGGGGUCAACUCACUGGACUGACCCGUCUGAUCCUAGAAUAUAUAAAGCUCGGAUAACUUCAAUCGCUGACUCAUCGAAUCAAGUUUUUGCUUCCUUCGAUUGUCAACACAGAGAGAAUUGCAUACUAGUAAUAGAUAAAUCAACACUCCAGAUUGUCUCCGAGAUUGCGAGGCAAUCUGGGAGCUCAGCGAAGAAUAUGGUCCCCGGGAAGCUGACGUGGCUGCCCGAUACCGGUGUGAUAAUCGGAACCGCAGUCACGAGCGGAGCGUUUGGGUACUCGGGAUAUAUCAGAAUAUGGGACCCAAGGGCUAGUGGUGCGGUGGUUUGGGAGACCAGCGAGCCUGGUUCUGGCAGGAGCAGCAGAUUUGGGGACUCAUUCGCGGACGUCGAUGUCGACGUUGAGGGCUUGACUUUGUUCAAGAUCUGUUCCAAGUCUGGUGAUUUAGCAAUGGCAGAUUUACGCAAUUUAGGGGAUGAUCCUUGGGUUUAUUUGAAAGAUAAAAACCCAAUGAUGAGAUUCACUGGUGGCCCAGUGGAGAGUGUGAUACAUUGCUAUAAGAGUCAGGUUUUUGUGGGAAGAGAUGGGGCUCUGGAGGUGUGGUCAAGGGUGGUUGAGAAGGAAAAUGGAUUAGACACAGAGAAUGUGUUGGGUGAGGAGUCGUAUAGAAGGAAUUUUGUGGAUAAAUUGGAGGAUUCAGAGAGAGGGACAAUUAGGAAAAUUGAAGGGGGUGGGAAUAGGUUGUUUGUCAGCAGAGAAGAUGUUGAGGGUAUUGAGGUGUGGGAAAGCUCUUAUUUAUCUGGUGCAAUUUCAGUUUCGUGACCCAGAAUUUAGCUUAUUUAUUGUAGGAAUAUGGCCUUCGAGAGGCUUUUGCAUUCUCAAUGCAUUUGUUGUAAAGUGAACAAAAGCAUAUGAAACCAACCUUGUUUUGACUGGCUUUCAUCAGUUCAAUUCCAAUUAAAUCUUCAGAGUUCUUGGGUAGUUUCUCAUAUUUAAGUGUGCUUUAUAUUUGUUAAACUGUUAUAAGU